CAUGACCUGAGCCGAAGGCAGAGGCUUAAUCCACUGAGCCACCCAGGCACCCCGGAUAUGAAUAUUUUUGACUAUUUAUAUUUCCAUUUAAAU